rnacentral:rRNA from 1 species
UACGUAGGGUCCGAGCGUUGUCCGGAGUUACUGGGCGUAAAGCGCGCGCAGGCGGCGGUGUUGGCCCGGCGUGAAAGCCCCCCGGCUCAACCGGGGGAGGGUCGUCGGGGACCGCACCGCUUGAGGGCGGUAGGGGCUGGUGGAAUGCCUGGUGUAGUGGUGAAAUGCGUAGAGAUCAGGCGGAACACCUGUGGCGAAGGCGGCCAGCUGGGCCGUCCCUGACGCUGAGGCGCGAAGGCGUGGGGGAGCGAACGGG